rnacentral:ncRNA from 2 species
GAUUAAACCAACACAAAUAUCUAUAUAACGUCGUAAUAAGGUCGACAGUUUCUACCCACUACCGUAAAUAGUGGACUAUAGGUGAUUGAAAGUUAAUA